rnacentral:lncRNA from 1 species
AAUUGGUGCAGUUGAAAUAACUUACUCUAGCAAAAGGACUUGCAUCUCGCGGAUGUUUGAAGUUUGCUCUCUGCUUGCCCAUUUGUUUUUCUAUACUUCCUCAAUUGGUUUCAUCAUGGUAAGCAACCCAAUCCAUUGAUCCAUGAUCAGUAACAAAUUCAUCAAUGGCAUAUACAGGAACCGUGCAAAUUAUCUAAAUUGGUGCAGGUGAUACAUACUGAAGAUAAUUUGAUCUCUAAUUAUGUGCACAUGAUACUUACUGGAGGUUGUGUGAUUGCUCAAUGGAGCCAUUAACAGUCGAGGAGAGUCAACAGAGGAGACUGGGACGCUUGCAACUAUUGGAGGAAGGCGAUGUCCAAGUGCUGAUCACUGGAGGAAGAUAAUGAAGAAGGUGAGCUCUGAAGGUGGGAUCUGACUUGUGGGGCGUGCUGGAACUGACUUGAUGCUAGCUUGUAUGGGUGGUUUCAUCGCCCUGGCACCAUUUAUAACCUGAUUGCCGGAAUUCAUAAAUCACAACAUUACCUUCUCGUGGUAUCGCUUUGCCUCGAUUGCUCGAGGUAGCAGCCACCAGCCUGGUAGAACAAAUCAAUCUAAAGUUCAAUUUUGUUCCCUUGGUGUUUUGGCAGCAAAAUAUCAGAUUAUCUGUUUGUUUCAUCCAUUCAUCCAUUGAUGUAUAAUUAAAAUAGUUACUUUGCACAUAGUUCUUUUCGUUGAUGACAGCUAUGUAAAGAGAUUUUCUCGAAAGAAAAAAAAAUACCAUUUGUAAAGAACUGGAUAUAACGCUCUGAAAAUAUUUAGAAUUGGAAUUAAUCUG